rnacentral:rRNA from 1 species
CGACCGGCGCACGGGUGAGUAACGCGUAUGCAACUUACCUAUCAGGAGGGGAUAACCCGGCGAAAGUCGGACUAAUACCGCAUGAAGCAGGGGCCCCGCAUGGGGAUAUUUGCUAAAGAUUCAUCGCUGAUAGAUAGGCAUGCGUUCCAUUAGGCAGUUGGCGGGGUAACGGCCCACCAAACCGACGAUGGAUAGGGGUUCUGAGAGGAAGGUCCCCCACAUUGGUACUGAGACACGGACCAAACUCCUACGGGAGGCAGCAG